rnacentral:rRNA from 1 species
GCAAAUCUGUGCUUGCACAGCCUAGCCAAGGCGGACGGGUGAGUAACGCGUAAAGAACUUGCCCUGCAGACAGGGAUAACAGACGGAAACGACUGAUAAUACCUGAUACAAUUGCCAGCACGCAUGUGCCCGGCAAUGAAAAGUGAUGCUGCAGGAGAGCUUUGCGUCCUAUUAGCUUGUUGGUGAGGUAACGGCUCACCAAGGCGAUGAUAGGUAGCCGGCCUGAGAGGGUGAACGGCCACAAGGGGACUGAGAUACGGCCCUUACUCCUACGGGAGGCAGCAGUGGGGAAUAUUGGACAAUGGGGGCAACCCUGAUCCAGCAAUUCUGUGUGCACGAAGAAGGUUUUCGGAUUGUAAAGUGCUUUCAGCAGGGAAGAAGAAAGUGACGGUACCUGCAGAAGAAGCGACGGCUAAAUACGUGCCAGCAGCCGCGGUAAUACGUAUGUCGCAAGCGUUAUCCGGAAUUAUUGGGCAUAAAGGGCAUCUAGGCGGCCAGACAAGUCUGGGGUGAAAACUUGCGGCUCAACCGCAAGCCUGCCCUGGAAACUGUUUGGCUAGAGUGCUGGAGAGGUGGACGGAACUGCACGAGUAGAGGUGAAAUUCGUAGAUAUGUGCAGGAAUGCCGAUGAUGAAGAUAGUUCACUGGACGGUAACUGACGCUGAAGUGCGAAAGCUGGGGGAGCGAACAGGAUUAGAUAUCCUGGUAGUCCCAGCCGUAAACGAUGAUUACUGGGUGUGGGCAUGAAGAGUGUCCGUGCCGAAGCUAAU